AUUGAACGCUGGCGGCAUGCCUUACACAUGCAAGUCGAACGGUAACGGGCCUUCGGGUGCCGACGAGUGGCGAACGGGUGAGUAAUGCAUCGGAACGUGCCUUUCAGUGGGGGAUAACGUAGCGAAAGUUACGCUAAUACCGCAUAUUCUGUGAGCAGGAAAGCAGGGGAUCGCAAGACCUUGCGCUGAUUGAGCGGCCGAUGUCAGAUUAGCUAGUUGGUGAGGUAAAGGCUCACCAAGGCGACGAUCUGUAGCGGGUCUGAGAGGAUGAUCCGCCACACUGGAACUGAGACACGGUCCAGACUCCUACGGGAGGCAGCAGUGGGGAAUUUUGGACAAUGGGCGCAAGCCUGAUCCAGCCAUGCCGCGUGAGUGAAGAAGGCCU
rnacentral:rRNA from 1 species